GUCAGAGACUCUCAGAGUCAUCAUCCUAUGAGAUCACAUAGGAUGUUCUCUCCUCCUACAAGGAGUGAUCGAUUUCUUGUUGACCACUCAUAACCUCCAUGCAAACUUCACCAUACUUAGAAUAUCCCACACAUAUCUCAAAAGUGGUAUGCUAGAGAAUAAACCAAAGUAAGGAUCCAUGUAUAUAAGGUACCAUAGUGAUCUCAGAUCAAAAAAUCAUAUGUACCACUCCCAC
rnacentral:lncRNA from 1 species